rnacentral:rRNA from 1 species
CUUUACUGUAAACUGAUAUUGUCGUUUGAUUUUUAAUACGUAGAAUAGCCGGGAGGCUUUGAUUCGGCACUCCAGGGUGCCGAUGAGCCGCAAUGUGAAAUACCGGUUUUUAACUAUUAGGCGUCUAACCGCAAACCGUAAGCCGGUUGCGGGACAGUGUUAGUGGGUCAGUUUGACUGGGGCGGUCUCCUCCUAAAAAGUAACGGAGGACUGCGAAGGUUCCCUCAGACCGGAUGGUAAUCGGUCGUCGAGGAUAUGGCUAAAAGGGAGCUUAACUGUGAGACUUACAAGUCGAGCAGAUGGGAAACCAGGCCCAAGUGAUCCGGCGAUAGCUCGUGGGAGCGUCGUCGCUUAUGGGACAAAAGGUA